AUGAAAAAUCUAGAGAUAAAGGCUCAGAGCAAUGAAGCAAUUGUAAUGACGGUGCAAAGAGAAGUGUUGACAAAGAUCAGAGGCAUCGAGACAGCUGUAGUAAACUUGGGCAACAGCAGGGCAACCGGUUCAUUAUGCAGCUCAAGGUUUAAUGACAGUGGCGAUGCACUUCUUGGAAACAUGGAGGAUUGGAGCAAGCAAAUUGGACCUGGUUUUGAUGUCAUGAAGAUGUCAUGA